rnacentral:rRNA from 1 species
AACAGAAUAAGCACCGGCUAACUUCGUGCCAGCAGCCGCGGUAAUACGAAGGGUGCAAGCGUUAAUCGGAAUUACUGGGCGUAAAGCGCGCGUAGGUGGUUCAGCAAGUUGGAUGUGAAAUACCCCGGGGCUCAACCUGGGAACUAGCAUCCAAAACUAACUGAGCUAGAGUACGGUAGAGGGUGGUGGAAUUUCCUGUGUAGCGGUGAAAUGCGUAGAUAUAGGAAGGAACACCAGUGGCGAAGGCGACCACCUGGACUGAUACUGACACUGAGGUGCGAAAGCGUGGGGAGCAAACAGGAUUAGAUACCCCUGGUAG